rnacentral:rRNA from 1 species
CCGGACAUUAAGUGACCCCGCCUCGGGGAGUACGGCCGCAAGGCUAAAACUCAAAGGAAUUGACGGGGCCCGCACAAGCAGCGGGGCAUGUUGCUUAAUUCGAGGCAACGCGAAGAACCUUACCUGGGUUUGACAUGUAGAGAAAAGCCGUAGAGAUACGGUGUCCUUCGGGGUUCUACACAGGUGGUGCAUGGUUGUCGUCAGCUCGUGUCGUGAGAUGUUGGGUUAAGUCCCGCAACGAGCGCAACCCUUGUCCUAUGUUGCCAGCACGUUAUGGUGGGGACUCGUAGGAGACUGCCGGGGUCAACUCGGAGGAAGGUGGGGACGACGUCAAAUCAUCAUGCCCCUUAUAUCCAGGGCUGCAAACAUGCUACAAUGGCCGGUACAAAGGGCUGCUAAACCGUGAGGUGGAGCGAAUCCCAUAAAGCCGGUCUCAGUUCGGAUUGGAGUCUGCAACUCGACUCCAUGAAGCUGGAGUUGCUAGUAAUCCCGGAUCAGCAACGCCGGGGUGAAUACCGUUCCCGGGCCUUGUACACACCACGUCGACGCGGCCG